rnacentral:rRNA from 1 species
AUUGAACGCUGGCGGCAGGCCUAACACAUGCAAGUCGAACGGUAACAGGAAGAAGCUUGCUUCUUUGCUGACGAGUGGCGGACGGGUGAGUAAUGUCUGGGAAACUGCCUGAUGGAGGGGGAUAACUACUGUAAACGGUAGCUAAUACCGCAUAACGUCGCAAGACCAAAGAGGGGGACCUUCGGGCCUCUUGCCAUCGGAUGUGCCCAGAUGGGAUUAGCUAGUAGGUGGGGUAACGGCUCACCUAGGCGACGAUCCCUAGCUGGUCUGAGAGGAUGACCAGCCACACUGGAACUGAGACACGGUCCAGACUCCUACGGGAGGCAGCAGUGGGGAAUAUUGCACAAUGGGCGCAAGCCUGAUGCAGCCAUGCCGCGUGUAUGAAGAAGGCCUUCGGGUUGUAAAGUACUUUCAGCGGGGAGGAAGGGAGUAAAGUUAAUACCUUUGCUCAUUGACGUUACCCGCAGAAGAAGCACCGGCUAACUCCGUG